AUGGGUGAAAUAGGUGAUGGGGAUCAAGGCGUGCACUUGUGAUGAGCACUGGGUGAUGUAGGGAAGUGCUGAAUUGCUCUAUUGUAUGCCUGGAAUCAAUACAACACUGUAGGUCGACUAAUUGAAAUUAAAAUACGAACUUAAAAAAAAGUACAGCUAAAGCAAAAACAAAACAAAGGAAAAAAGAAACAUUCAUGGGCUACCAGCUGUGAACGUAGCCCUGUGCUAGGUGCAGAAGGGGGGUGGGGGGGUGGGGUCCCACACUACGUAGGCUGACAGUCCGGCUGGGAAGAUAACACCGGCAUGCGUGGGAGGUGAAGCAGCAAUGUAACGCUCCUGCUGGAAAUAAUGGCGAGAACGAAGAAGAUGAAGGUACUGAUCAGUCUUCAUACAGGCGCACCAUCCUGCGGUUCACAGAGCAUAUCAAUGGUGUUAUCUUAUUUGAUACUCAAAACUAUCAAAACCAGCCCACCAGUUCUACUAAUGAGCAAACUGAGAGUCAUAACUUCUCUGAGAUCAGAUAGGAAGAAAAGUAGCUGAGUUGGACGACUUUCGUUUGGCCCCAAGAAUGCCACUGUCACCAAGACACCACAACUGUCUUCCUUUACGUUGCCACAGAACAUUGCAAAAUGCACAUUAGCAUUACGUAGUAACAUAGGUAACUGCCGUGUGGGGAGUGGAUGUAAUGGGCGAUCAGAGAGCAGGCAGGUCAUGAGGCUGGUGGCCGUGGAGAAACAGGUAACUGGGCGGAGCUCAGAGGCUGUGCAGUACUUGGACAUGUGAGCCGUGGAGACGAGAGGAGGGCUGCCUCUCUGGCAAGAAGACGUGUGUAGAUGAGCGACGCACAACUCUACCUGGGUAUAAACUCCCAGGAGCAGAGCAGCCAGAUCAAAGGGCGCACACAUUUCCCUCUCUGAGUGAUGUUACAAAUCCCCCUCAGGGCCGGGCACAGCCCACAACCAGGAGUCUAGUCGUGCACCUCCCCCGGUUCUCAGCAAACGUUGUGAUCUCUGCCAAUCUGCCCGCCUACUUCCAAAGAAUCGUCAACCAACUUGCAAUAUGGAGCUUCGAUACGGUCUGAAAAUAAGGUAAUGCACGCUCAGAAUCUUGGUAACAAGAAAGUGGAGGCCAGGGGUGGGAACUGAGAAAGGCCGAAAGGCGAGUUGCCACGGGGAGCCCUCCCGGGUGCCCGACAUCAUAGAAGGUUCUUUGAGACGUGCGAAAUAGUUGGAUGCCCUCUCCGAGCUAAUGAACAACUGGAUGGUCCCAGUUACAUAAUAGUCACGAUUCAC